UAUCUCUGUAGAGUCUGCAUAUCAAUAAGCGGAGGAAAAGAAACUAACUAGGAUUCCCUCAGUAACGGCGAGUGAAGCGGGAAGAGCUCAAAUUUGAAAUCUUCAAGGUUCUACCUUGACGAAUUGUAGUUUAAAGAAGUGUUUUACUGUUGGAGUUUUGGUAAAAGUUUCUUUGGAAUAGGACAUCAUAGAGGGUGAGAAUCCCGUAUUUGACCAUUAUUUCCAGCUUUGUGAUACACUUUCAAAGAGUCGGAUUGUUUGGGAAUGCAGUCCAAAAUGGGUGGUAAAUUUCAUCUAAAGCUAAAUACUGGCGAGAGACCGAUAGCGAACAAGUACUGUGAGGGAAAGAUGAAAAGAACUUUGAAAAGAGAGUUAAACAGUACGUGAAAUUGUCAAAAGGGAAGCGUUUGACACCAGUGUUGUUUUUCUGAAAAUCAAUUAAAGAACUGUUUAUGCUAAGCUGUUUAGACUUUAUCAGCUAUCUGUUUAGUUUUGAGCCUUUCUUUAAUGCACUUUUCAGUUAACAAGUCAACAUCAAUUUCUUUUGCUGUAAAAAAGCUUGAGGAAGGUGGCUUGAGAUUCGUCUUAAGUGUUUAUAGCCUCUUGCCUAUGCAGUCGGAGAGAUUGAGGUCUGCAGCGUAGAUCCUUCGGGGCUAAAUGCAUUUGUGCUAAGUUAUAGCAUUUUAUAGACAACUUGUUGACUAUGAUUUGUCUUGUAGCUUACUCGCUUAUGUUAUUUUACCUACGCUUAGGAUGUUGACGAUCAGCUGAGCGCG
rnacentral:rRNA from 1 species